AUUGAACGCUGGCGGCAGGCCUAACACAUGCAAGUCGAGCGGAUGAAGGGAGCUUGCUCCUGGAUUCAGCGGCGGACGGGUGAGUAAUGCCUAGGAAUCUGCCUGGUAGUGGGGGAUAACGUCCGGAAACGGGCGCUAAUACCGCAGACGUCCUGAGGGAGAAAGUGGGGGAUCUUCGGACCUCACGCUAUCAGAUGAGCCUAGGUCGGAUUAGCUAGUUGGUGGGGUAAAGGCCUACCAAGGCGACGAUCCGUAACUGGUCUGAGAGGAUGAUCAGUCACACUGGAACUGAGACACGGUCCAGACUCCUACGGGAGGCAGCAGUGGGGAAUAUUGGACAAUGGGCGAAAGCCUGAUCCAGCCAUGCCGCGUGUGUGAAGAAGGUCUUCGGAUUGUAAAGCACUUUAAGUUGGGAGGAAGGGCAGUAAGUUAAUACCUUGCUGUUUUGACGUUACCAACAGAAUAAGCACCGGCUAACUUCGU
rnacentral:rRNA from 1 species